rnacentral:rRNA from 1 species
UAAUACGGAGGGUGCGAGCGUUAAUCGGAAUUACUGGGCGUAAAGCGCAUGCAGGCGGCCUGUUAAGUCAGAUGUGAAAGACCCGGGGCUUAAACCUCGGAAUUGCAUUUGAAACUAGGCAGGCUAGAGUCUUGUAGAGGGGGGUAGGAAUUUCAGGUGUAGCGGUGAAAUAGCGUAGAGAUCUGAAGGAAUACCAGUGGCGAAGGCGGCCCCCUCGGACAAAGACUGACGCUCAGAUGCGAAAGCGUGGGGAGCAAACAGGAUUAGAUACCCCUGGUAG